CGGCACUGUUACAAGUUUCCCCUUUACUCAGAGCUACAGUACACAGGCUACAUCUGUCCUUAGUGGAUCUGGCUGCCUUUCUUACCUACUUAAAUAUAACUUUCAACUUACUGUGCCGAUAUAUUUGCUUGCAGCAGUACGUAAGAAGUUAGAGAAGCAAAUGAUAUUUCAAAUGACUUUUCACAUGUUGGCUUGGAAGUGUCCGAAGAAGGAACCAACAAGUCUGGUGGCUUCAAAAUUUAACUCCAAAUUUAAGAAAGACAAGGUUUCCUUCAGCUAAACUACCAUUAUAAUCUAAAAGGAGAGAGAGAGAAUGGCAUUUGAUUCGUUACUAAAAAUGUUAAUUAAUUAAUUAAUUAAUUUUUUAAUACAACAGGUAACUACUUCAUGUGCCUUAUAAAAAUUUCUUAUAAACAAAUUUAUGGUGAUAUUUUUCUUGGUUAAAUAUUUUCAUGUGUAAAUAUGUAUGGUUUUCAUAGAGAAUAAGGAAGGAAUAGCAUGAAAUAAGCAACUAAGAGGAAGACAAAGACUUGCUUUACAUUCAUUUUGGGGAACUGAUCCUAACUGAGCUUAUGCAGGGGUGCUGUAUCUUGAUAUAAUAAUAUCAACUAUUUUAAGGAGGUAGUGAUGUUCCCAGAGUGUGAAUAACUCUGCCAAGAAUAGCUAUGCUAGCUUUUCUUGAGCUAUUCCAUAUGAGGUCUACUUACUUUGGGUUUUAUCAUUCAUAGAAAGGGUAUUUAAAAAUGCUUUCCUUUCUGCUAGAAACAUAGAUUUUAAGAGGGUGCUUACAACUAGUCUAGGAUUUGAUAUGACAGAUAUUUAUAUCUAAUGCAGAGCAAAACACAAAAUACACUUAACCUUUAUUCAGUUGCAUUGUAAAUGUAUUCCACUUUCUUUCAACUGGAGUGAAUUAUAUUAAUAACUUGUUAUUGUUAAAAUGUCAAGAGUAUUUUCUUUCUCUUUGAAUUAUCAUUUCUCUGCUCAGGGUAUUGGGUUCUCCUUAUCGCUCCUGACAUGGAAAGGAAGAAAUGUAAUCUUAAGUGAAAUGUUCAGACUUCUCGUGAAUAGCCCCAGGAAAGGAAAGAACUGGAUAUGUUUUGGAGAGAUACACUCUCAGCAUGACUGGAAGGAAAAUUAAGAAGUGUCUUGCCAGCUCUUAAACUGUGUAACAGAGAACAAUUACUCUUCAUUGGAUGAUGCUGUAAGAGAAGGCAUGUGGAAACAACAAGUGGUUAUAUCAUGCUGUUGUAUAGUACUAAAUCUGUCUUCAGUCCCUCCCCUUAGCUGUGAAUCAGUUUAAUCUGCCAAAUUAUUAUUGUUCUUAAUACUUCCCAAAGAGUUUUCUAAAUUAAUGGGCCAAGAAGUUACUGUUUUUACGGUGUUUACAUCCUCUUUAUCACGGUACAC
rnacentral:lncRNA from 1 species